rnacentral:rRNA from 1 species
CCUACGGGUGUCAGCAGUGAGGAAUAUUGGUCAAUGGGCUCGAGCCUGAACCAGCCAAGUAGCGUGAAGGAUGACUGCCCUACGGGUUGUAAACUUCUUUUGUAAAGGAAUAAAGUGAGGCACGCGUGCCUUUUUGUAUGUACUUUAUGAAUAAGGAUCGGCUAACUCCGUUCCAGCAGCCGCGGUAAUACGGAGGGUCCGAGCGUUAUCCGGAUUUAUUGGGUUUAAAGGGAGCGUAGGUGGGUAGUUAAGUCAGUUGUGAAAGUAUGCGGCCCAACCGUAAAGUAGCAAUUGAGACUGGCAGUCUUGAGUACGCGUGAGGUAGGCGGAAUUCGUGGUGUAGCGGUGAAAUGCUUAGAUAUCACGAAGAACUCCGAUUGCGAAGGCAGCAUACUAAACUGCCACUGAUAUUGAUGCUCGAAAGUGUGGGUAUCAAACAGGAUUAGAUACCCGGGUAGUC